rnacentral:rRNA from 1 species
UACGUAGGGGGCGAGCGUUGUCCGGAUUUAUUGGGCGUAAAGAGCGUGUAGGCGGUUCGGUAAGUCUGUCGUGAAAUCCUGAGGCUCAACCUCGGACGUGCGAUGGAUACUGCCGGGCUAGAGGAUGGUAGAGGCGAGUGGAAUUCCCGGUGUAGCGGUGAAAUGCGCAGAUAUCGGGAGGAACACCGGUGGCGAAGGCG